UGAAUCUACUGUUUCAAAGUCGCACAAAA
rnacentral:piRNA from 1 species